ACUCAAAUGAAUUGACGGGGACCCGCACAAGCGGUGGAGCAUGUUCUUUAAUUCGAUGGUAAGCGUUUAACCUUACCAGGGUUUGACAUCCCGCGAAGAUCUCUGAAAGGAGAUUGUGCCGCAAGGAACGCGGUGACAGGUGAUGCAUGGCCGUCGUCAGCUCGUGUCGUGAGAUGUUGGGUUAAGUCCCGCAACGAGCGCAACCCUUAUGGCUAGUUGAAUUUUUCUAGUCAGACUGCCUCGGUAACGAGGAGGAAGGAGGGGAUGAUGUCAGGUCCGUAUUUCCCUUACACCCUGGGCUAGAAACGUGCUACAAUGGCCGGUACAAAGGGCUUAAAGCAAAGUCGCGAGACGGAGCGAAUCCCAUCAAAGCCGGUCUCAGUUCGGAUUGCAGGCUGAAACUCGCCUGCAUGAAGUCGGAAUCGCUAGUAAUCGCAGGUCAGCACACUGCGGUGAAUACGUUCCCGGGUCUUGUACACACCGCCCGU
rnacentral:rRNA from 1 species